rnacentral:rRNA from 1 species
CAAUAGCGUAUAUUAACGUUGUUGCAGUUAAAAAGCUCGUAGUUGGAUUUCUGGAGGGAGCGUCGGCCCGUAUUUACGAGUGCGUGACGUCUCUGUCCAUCCGUGCGGGAAGGCACGGCAUUGAUUUGUUGUGUCGGAUCGCAUCAUUUACUGUGAAAAAAUUAGAGUGUUCAAAGCAGGCUUUCGCUUGAAUACAUUAGCAUGGAAUAAUAAGAUAGGACUUUGGUGCUAUUUUGUUGGUUGAGCCUAAAGUAAUGAUUAAUAGGGAUAGUUGGGGGCACCUGUAUUGCGUUGUCAGAGGUGAAAUUCUUGGAUUUACGCAAGACAAACAGCUGCGAAAGCGUCUGCCAAGGAUGUUUUCAUUAA